rnacentral:lncRNA from 1 species
GGAGAAAGGGGCAGGGUAUGUAGGUAGGUAGAAAGAGGAAAAGGAAAAAAAUGUUGUAAUUAUAAUCUCAAACUGAAGAGUAGUCUAAUCAAUAAUACCUAGAGCUUUAUCCUUAGUAUGUGACAGUAUUGUUAAUGUACUUAACAUUGAAGUUCUUCUCAUUAAAAGAAUAGUUUUCUUCAACUUAUAAAACAUUACUUUUAUCAUAAAGCAUAUGCCUUGCUAUUCUGGCAACAGCUUCAUACAUUUUUGUCUUUUAGAUCUACUGACUAUAUCAAGAGUGAAAUGACUUACCCAUCCACAGGUUUCUGUAUAGGGCUAUUUGAAGAUAAUCUGUAUGCUAUAUAAACUCCUCCAUAUCAGGCUGUUAGCCUAACUCAGCUGGCAUAAAGUUCUUGCUUCACAAAUCUGAAGGCGGGCGUUCCAUUUCUGGAGUACAAGGAGACAAUUGACCUUUGAAAAUUAUCCUGAUCACCACAUCUGUGUUGUAGUAUAUGUGCUUUCCAAUACAAAAU